GCUGUCCCAAUUCCAAGGGUCCUUCAAAUGCGGCCUACGAAUGCAGCCUUCUUUUCCCGGAUUUGAAGGAUGCAUCGGCUGUAUCCUUCACGGCCCAACGUAUCCCAAGAUCCUUCACGGCCCAACGUAUCCCUCCCAAGAUUCAUUGCGCACUCAAUCAAUGGAGAUGGCGGAGAAUGGCGAUUUAAGUUCUGCAUUUAAAUGGAGCCAGCAGCAUACUGCUCGAUUUAUUCUAUUGAGGGGGGAGAAGGAUGAGCUGUUCACCGGGGUGAAAUACUCAGCAAGUGUGGCUUGGGGGACAAUUCUGGAGGAAAUAGGCCUGCAGGGGAAGGAUUGCAAGUAUCCUGGGUCAGGAGAGGGGGUAGGUGGGAAACCCACUGCUGCCACUUGGCCCUGGUUUGUCCCCAUGGAUAAGGUAUUGGAUUGGGACAGAGGCAUUCCACCAACCCCCCUGUCCUAAUUGCAUCCAUCCCUGAGAACACACCAAGGCCAAGUGCAGCAAGUACAGCAGUGGUGGAUCAGGAGGUGGAGGACAAGGAUCAGGAGGAGGAAAGACAGCGAGGGCCAAGGUCCAGAAAGAGGGACAGAGAAGAAGACAUGUUCCAGAGUCGCUCACUAUCUUCCGAAAAGGACUCAAGAUUCACCUGUUCAGUGUCCACCUCGACUGCAUAGCCACCCUCCCCCUUCUGGCCACCAUUGUACACUGUGUUGUAUUGUAUUGUAUUGUAUUAUAGUACUUAACUGUGUAGCAACUGCAGUAGCUGCUAUCAUGGCAAUGUAUAUCAUCAAUGCUAUCAUCAAUGUACUUAUUGUAAGUCGCUUUGGAUAAAAGCGUCUGCUAAAUGCCCUAAAUGUAAAUGUAAAAUGUAAAUGUUCCAGUUAAUAAAAGAGGACAUGAGGCUACAAAGGGAGGCAGAGGAGAGGAAAGCCCAGGAAAGCAGGGAAAGAAUGGAUAGGUUUUUCUCAAUUUUGGAGCGUUUGGUGGACAAAUAACUUAUGUUCUGUUAUAUUUAACACUUUUUUUUUGUAUUGACUAAUGUAUUCGUAUAUAACUUAUAAAACAUAUAUACAACAAUAAAACUAUUUACAAC
ensembl:lncRNA